rnacentral:rRNA from 1 species
GGGCCCGCACAAGCGGUGGAGCAUGUGGUUUAAUUCGAUGCAACGCGAAGAACCUUACCAGGGCUUGACAUGUGGAGUUUGGUUAUCAGAGAUGAUUUCCUUCAGUUUGGCUGGCUCCAACACAGGUGCUGCAUGGCUGUCGUCAGCUCGUGUCGUGAGAUGUUGGGUUAAGUCCCGCAACGAGCGCAACCCUCAUCUUUAGUUGCCAUCAGUUCGGCUGGGCACUCUAGAGAAACUGCCUGGGAUGACCAGGAGGAAGGCGAGGAUGACGUCAAGUCCUCAUGGCCCUUAUGGGCUGGGCUACACACGUGCUACAAUGGCGGUGACAAAGGGACGCAAUAGGGCAACCUGGAGCAAAUCCCUAAAAGCCGUCUCAGUUCGGAUUGUUCUCUGCAACUCGAGAGCAUG